AAAGUCGUAACAAGGUUUCCGUAGGUGAACCUGCGGAAGGAUCAUUACCGAAUGACCUGCACCUCUCUGCGUGUGGGUGCUCAUUGGCGCCUCUUGAUCUUGAUCUUGGUGCUCAUCACACCACGCCACAAAGCGGUGGGAUUGGGUGCCCCGUUCAAGAUGUCCUAUGCUACACACAAAACCUGUCAUCGUAUGGCGUUGAACAUAAACAUAUAGUAUAACUUUCAACAACGGAUCUCUUGGCUCUC
rnacentral:misc_RNA from 1 species